GGAACCUCACACUAACGAAUAUUUGGAACUUACUCCAGACCUUUCACCAAGUUCUCAAAAAACAGCUCAAGAACUUAAGGAACUACCCAAGAACCUAAGAUAUAAGUUUUUGGAUAAAGAAAUGAACCACCUAGUAAUAGUUAGUGCCUCCUUAAACCAAGACGAGACGAAUCGACUCUUGAAUGUUUUAAGAAGAUACCCCUCUGCCUUAGGGUAUAACAUCUCCG
rnacentral:lncRNA from 1 species